rfam:Drosophila simulans chrT_M_6972 genomic scaffold, whole genome shotgun sequence.
AUUCUGGUUGAUCCUGCCAGUAGUUAUAUGCUUGUCUCAAAGAUUAAGCCAUGCAUGUCUAAGUACACACGAAUUAAAAGUGAAACCGCAAAAGGCUCAUUAUAUCAGUUAUGGUUCCUUAGAUCGUUAACAGUUACUUGGAUAACUGUGGUAAUUCUAGAGCUAAUACAUGCAAUUAAAACAUGAACCUUAUGGGACAUGUGCUUUUAUUAGGCUAAAACCAAGCGAUCGCAAGAUCGUUAUAUUGGUUGAACUCUAGAUAACAUGCAGAUCGUAUGGUCUUGUACCGACGACAGAUCUUUCAAAUGUCUGCCCUAUCAACUUUUGAUGGUAGUAUCUAGGACUACCAUGGUUGCAACGGGUAACGGGGAAUCAGGGUUCGAUUCCGGAGAGGGAGCCUGAGAAACGGCUACCACAUCUAAGGAAGGCAGCAGGCGCGUAAAUUACCCACUCCCAGCUCGGGGAGGUAGUGACGAAAAAUAACAAUACAGGACUCAUAUCCGAGGCCCUGUAAUUGGAAUGAGUACACUUUAAAUCCUUUAACAAGGACCAAUUGGAGGGCAAGUCUGGUGCCAGCAGCCGCGGUAAUUCCAGCUCCAAUAGCGUAUAUUAAAGUUGUUGCGGUUAAAACGUUCGUAGUUGAACUUGUGCUUCAUACGGGUAGUACAACUUACAAUUGUGGUUAGUACUAUACCUUUAUGUAUGUAAGCGUAUUACCGGUGGAGUUCUUAUAUGUGAUUAAAUACUUGUAUUUUUUCAUAUGUUCCUCCUAUUUAAAAACCUGCACUAGUGCUCUUAAACGAGUGUUAUUGUGGGCCGGUACUAUUACUUUGAACAAAUUAAGAGUGCUUAAAGCAGGCUUCAAAUGCCUGAAUAUUCUGUGCAUGGGAAAAAGAAAAAAGACCUUUGUUUCUGCUUUCUUUGGUUUUCAAAUCAAAAGGAAAGGAUAAUAAAAACCUUUUGGGGGGC